rnacentral:rRNA from 1 species
UUAUUGGAGAGUUUGAUCCUGGCUCAGGAUGAACGCUGGCGGCGUGCCUAAUACAUGCAAGUCGAGCGAAUGGAUUAAGAGCUUGCUCUUAUGAAGUUAGCGGCGGACGGGUGAGUAACACGUGGGUAACCUGCCCAUAAGACUGGGAUAACUCCGGGAAACCGGGGCUAAUACCGGAUAAUAUUUUGAACUGCAUGGUUCG